rnacentral:rRNA from 1 species
GAUGAACGCUGGCGGCGUGCCUAAUACAUGCAAGUAGAACGCUGAAGCUUGGUGCUUGCACCGAGCGGAUGAGUUGCGAACGGGUGAGUAACGCGUAGGUAACCUGCCUGGUAGCGGGGGAUAACUAUUGGAAACGAUAGCUAAUACCGCAUAACAGUCGACAUUGCAUGAUGUUGAUUUGAAAGGGGCAAAUGCUCCACUACCAGAUGGACCUGCGUUGUAUUAGCUAGUUGGUGAGGUAACGGCUCACCAAGGCGACGAUACAUAGCCGACCUGAGAGGGUGAUCGGCCACACUGGGACUGAGACACGGCCCAGACUCCUACGGGAGGCAGCAGUAGGGAAUCUUCGGCAAUGGACGGAAGUCUGACCGAGCAACGCCGCGUGAGUGAAGAAGGUUUUCGGAUCGUAAAGCUCUGUUGUAAGAGAAGAACGAGUGUGAGAGUGGAAAGUUCACAC